CCACUGUUCCGUUUCGAGCUCUUUAUCGGUUCUUGCGCGCGAGCGCUCGCGUUUUCGGCCGAAAAACGGCGUCCGCGGGGAAACCGGCGAGUGGAAGAGGACUAACGCUGUUCGUUCACAAACAAUGAACACUUGUCAGAAAUAAGCGGCUGCCUGAACGUCGGCGGACGACGACCCGCACUGAAAUUCCUGGACAGGAGAGACGGAGAGAGAGAGAGAGGAGGGAGAGGCGAGAGCUGCGGCUGACAGGUGCCGUUACUCGGCUCGGUUCAAACUGAGCCAAGAUGCCGCCGGUCCAGAGAACCGUUUCAGACCUCCGCUCCCGCGCUGAAGGGUAUGAAAAGACAGAAGAUGCAUCAGAGAAGACCUCCCUAGCUGAUCAGGAGGAUGCUCGCCUAAUAUUCAUCAAUCAGCCCCAAUUUACCAAAUUCUGCAGCAAUCGUGUCAGCACAGCAAAGUACAACGUGCUGACCUUCCUGCCACGGUUCCUGUACUCUCAGUUCAGAAGAGCAGCCAACUCCUUCUUCCUGUUCAUUGCCCUGCUGCAGCAAAUUCCAGAUGUCUCUCCAACUGGGCGAUGGACCACGCUUGUGCCCCUGCUCUUCAUCCUUGUGGUGGCGGCAGUGAAGGAGGUGAUAGAGGACCUGAAACGUCACAAAGCUGACAGUGUUGUCAACAAGAAAGAGACGCAAGUGCUGAGGAAUGGAGCCUGGGAGAUAGUUCACUGGGAGAAGGUGGCAGUAGGGGAGGUAGUCCGAGCCUCCAACGGAGAUCACCUCCCGGCCGACCUCAUCAUAUUGUCCUCCAGUGAACCUCAGGGAAUGUGCUACAUAGAAACCUCAAACCUGGAUGGAGAAACAAAUUUAAAAAUCAGACAAGGUCUGCAGAUCACUUCUGAGAUAAAAGACAUUGACAGCUUGAUGCGUCUGUCUGGCCGUAUGGAAUGUGAGAGUCCCAACAGACACCUGUAUGAGUUUGUGGGCAAUAUCCGAAUGGAUGGACACAGCACAGUACCACUGGGUCCAGAUCAGAUCCUACUGAGAGGAGCACAGCUGAGGAACACACAGUGGGUGCAUGGCAUUGUGGUCUACACAGGACACGACACUAAGCUCAUGCAGAACUCCACACGGCCUCCUCUGAAGCUGUCCAACGUGGAGCGCAUCACUAACUUUCAGAUCCUGGUGCUCUUCGGCUGCCUGCUGGCCAUCUCUUUGGUGUGCUCCAUCGGUCAGACCAUCUGGAAGUACCAGUACGGCAAUGAUGCCUGGUACAUGGACCUCAACUACGGUGGAGCGGCCAACUUCGGCCUGAACUUCCUCACCUUCAUCAUCCUCUUCAACAACUUGAUUCCCAUCAGUCUGCUGGUGACGCUGGAGGUGAUCAAGUUCAUCCAGGCUUACUUCAUCAACUGGGACACUGACAUGAUCUAUGAAGCUACCAACACUCCAGCCAUGGCUCGAACCUCCAACCUGAAUGAAGAGCUGGGCCAGGUCAAAUACAUCUUUUCAGACAAAACAGGAACUUUGACCUGCAAUGUGAUGCAGUUUAAGAAGUGCACUGUAGCCGGCGUGGCCUACGGUCACACAUGCGAAGUGGAGGAUGGUAGUUUUGCAGAAGAGGACGGUCACAGCUCUCACUCGAUGGAGGAGGCAGGAUUUAAUGACCCCAGCCUACUGGAAAACCUCCAAAGCAAUCAUCCCACCGCCCCAGUGAUCAUGGACUUUAUGACCAUGAUGGCGAUCUGUCACACGGCCGUGCCUGAACGCAGCGAGGACACCAUCACCUAUCAGGCUGCUUCUCCAGAUGAAGGUGCUCUGGUCCGUGCAGCCCAGAACCUGGGCUUUGUUUUCUCGGCCAGGACCCCGGACAGCGUCAUUGUGGAGUCUCUUGGUGAAGAGGAGAAAUAUGAACUGCUGCAUGUCCUGGAGUUCACCAGUGCCAGGAAGAGGAUGUCAGUCAUCAUGCGGACUCCAUCCGGAAAGAUCCGCCUCUACUGCAAAGGAGCCGACACUGUGAUCUACGACCGCCUGGCAGACAAUUCCAGAUACAAGGAUAUCACACUCAAACAUCUGGAGCAGUUUGCUACGGAGGGUUUGCGUACACUGUGCUUUGCGGUAGCGGACAUAUCAGAGUCAUUGUAUCAGCAGUGGCUGGAGGUACAUCAUCGAGCCUGCACCUCUCUACAAAACAGAGCUCUCAAACUGGAGGAGAGUUAUGAACUCAUUGAGAAGAACCUACAACUCUUGGGAGCCACAGCGAUUGAGGACAAGCUGCAGGAUCGCGUACCUGAGACCAUUGAGACCCUGAUGAAAGCAGACAUCAAAAUCUGGAUCCUGACAGGGGACAAACAAGAGACGGCCAUCAAUAUCGGACACUCCUGCAAGCUGCUCACCAAGAACAUGGGUCUGCUGGUGAUUAAUGAGGAGACGCUGGAUGGGACAAGAGAGACUCUGAGCCACCACUGCGGCAUGCUGGGAGAUGCUCUGCAUAAGGAGAACGACUUUGCGCUGAUCAUUGAUGGGAAGACGCUGAAGUACGCACUGACCUUUGGAGCACGCCAGUACUUCCUGGACCUGGCAUUGUCCUGCAAGGCCGUCAUAUGUUGCAGGGUCUCUCCUCUGCAGAAGUCUGAGGUGGUGGAGAUGGUGAAGAAGCAGGUGAAGGUCAUCACUCUGGCCAUCGGCGAUGGAGCCAACGAUGUAGGCAUGAUCCAAACUGCUCACGUGGGUGUUGGCAUCUCAGGCAACGAGGGACUGCAGGCUGCCAACUCUUCAGACUACUCUAUUGCACAGUUCAAGUAUUUAAAGAACCUCCUGCUGGUCCAUGGAGCCUGGAACUAUAACCGUGUCGCUAAAUGCAUCCUCUACUGCUUCUACAAGAACAUUGUGUUGUACAUCAUUGAGAUUUGGUUUGCCUUUGUGAACGGCUUCUCUGGUCAGAUCCUGUUUGAGCGCUGGUGUAUCGGCCUGUAUAACGUGAUCUUUACAGCUCUACCCCCGCUGACACUGGGCAUUUUUGAACGCUCCUGCAGGAAAGAAAACAUGUUAAAAUACCCAGAACUGUACAAAACCUCCCAGAAUGCCAUGGGGUUCAACACAAAGGUUUUUUGGGCUCAUUGUCUGAACGGACUCUUUCACUCAGUCAUCCUCUUCUGGUUCCCCCUGAAAGCCUUCCAGCAUGACACGGUCUUUGGAAACGGAAAGACUCCAGACUAUCUACUGCUGGGGAACAUGGUGUACACAUUCGUAGUGAUCACUGUGUGUCUGAAGGCAGGGUUGGAGACUUCUUCCUGGACCAUGUUCAGUCAUAUAGCCAUCUGGGGCAGCAUUGGAUUGUGGGUAGUGUUCUUUGGCAUCUAUUCCUCUCUAUGGCCUCUCAUCCCUCUGGCUCCGGAUAUGUCAGGAGAGGCAGAUAUGAUGUUCAACUCUGGAGUGUUCUGGAUGGGGCUAUUCUUCAUUCCUGUCACCUCUCUGGUGUUUGACGUGGCCUACAAAGUCAUUAAGAAGGCUUGCUUUAAGACACUGGUGGAUGAGGUCCAGGAACUGGAGGCUCUGUCUAAGGAUCCUGGAGCUGUGGUUCAUGGAAAGAGUUUGACAGAGAGGGCCCAGCUGCUGAAGAACGUGUUCAAGAAGAGCACAGUCAGCCUGUACCGCUCCGACUCCAUGCAGCAGAAUCUACUCCGUGGGGAUGGGAGGCGCUCAGUCAUAGUCUGAUUAUGCCAUACACACUUUAACCCUGAAACCACCUCAAAAUCCAUCACAGUUGCUGUUUUUUUCUGAUUUAUAUGUAACAAAAACCUAUCCCAGUGUUACUGACCCACACCUUAACCUAAUACAUAAUGCCCUAUAUCCCGCAGCUUCGCCCUUUCCCCACUGCAUGGAUGUAUGUGUGUGUGUGUGUGUGUGUGUGUGUUUAAGUGUGUGUUUGUGUGAGUAUUUUGCUGUGCAGCUCUGUUGCCUGAAAGCCAGAGUCACGUCUAACCAUUUACAUGUUCCAUUGUCGCUCCCACUGUGCGCCGCUCUCCUCUGCCCCUUGCAUGCGCCCCUUCUCAGGCCAGCAGGUAGAGGCCGAGUCAGUUGAGACGUAAAGACGGCUACGCCUUCUCCCAGGAUGAGAACGGAGUGGUCUCCCAAUCGGAGGUCAUCAGGGCCUACGACACCACCAAGCAGCGGACCAAUGAGUGGUGAGAUCCGGCCUCCCCCCAGGCCCGGUCCCCCUGAGCCUCAGCAAUCUCAGUCAGUCUACCUUUUGAAACUGGCAAAAGCUGAAGUCUGUCAGUUUGUCUUUCUCCAGCUCAGAGUUGCCUGGCUGGAACUACAGCAAAGAAACAAAAGAGAGAGAAAAGUAGAGAGAGAGCUUUACUUCGAAAGGGAAACAAAAAAGUAAGGAACAGUAAUUAGGAUUUGAAGAUUUGUAGAUUUCGAAGCAGUCACACUGGAGCAGUAGUGUCCAGCCUGGGUUUGAGGGGGUUUAGGCUGGACUGCAGUUUUUGCCCGGCUCUGUUAUCAACCCUAUAAAACAGAGGGACACUGAGAAGCAGUACUAUGAAUUCUUUCUCCUCUGACAUCCUUCAAACUUUUACUGUUAAAGCCAAAAAUACAGUGGUGGUGGUGGUGGUGGUGGUAAUGGUGAUGGUAAUAAUGAUGUAGACCCUUUGUGGUUGUGGUCUUUGAUUGUGUCCCCCCUAAUCAGUGAUUGUGUAUGAAACUCUCUGAAUAAUAGUAUUGCUCAGUAAUCCCUGAUUGUGUAGCAACAGCAGUACUGAAGAUCUUGUGGAAACGGAAUUCGCCAAAGAACACCGUAAGGAACACAAUCACUGUUAAAAAGGAAAUGUUGAAGACGUGUUUAGAAAUGUCAGUAUUAAGCAGAUGUAUUACAUUUUUCCUAAAGAAUCUCCCCUCUGCACUGAUUUGGCCACUGCAGACCUUAAAAUGUUACAGAUUUGUGUUUUGUUUAUGAUGUUUGUUGCUGUUUCUUUGUAUUUAUUUUCUCUUUUUUAGUUUUUUGUUUUUUUUUUCUUUGCAUGCUCUUAAUUUCUUUUCCUGCCUUCAGAUACUGGUUUUAAUUUAAUUUAUUAUUUUUUUAAAUUGUUAAAUAGUUAGUUGUUAAUUGUGCCUGAUUUUUUUUUAGGCCAUUGGGUUCGUGCCAUUUGUAAGACAUGUGUAUAUCUUUUGAUAGCCCUUCAACCAGUUUCUGCAUUCCUCAUCAUACACCGCUGCAACGAUCACAAUGGUGCCUAAUAGGAACUUUUUUUUCUUUUCUUCCCCGUUAGAGAGUGUACAUCAGAUAUUUUAGCUAGGCAGGAUUAGUCCGCUAACACACAAGGAGCUACAAGCUGUCGUCGUCUCUGCAGUGCCUGGCUGCUUCGUUUGAGCUCUGUGUGGACUCUCUGUUGUGGCAGCCAGUUCUGUUUGCUUUGUUAGGAAGUCUUUUAGAUGUUGCAGAUGGUUGGCUUCUAGUAAUUCUCUUAGAGAAGGAUAGACAGAGUUGAUCCCUCAAAACUGAAGUGCCAUUAGCUUGGGGGAGGAAGAGAAGGGGUUAGCCUGGAGGUCCACCCAGUAUCAAAAUGACUUUGUCUCCAUAGUUAUUUUGUGAAUUUGUAUUUUUAUAUUGGACAAGUACAACUUUUUGGAUUGAUCUGCUUUGUAUAUGAGACGUUGUGUCGUUCUUCUUAUUUUGUCGUCUAUCUUCAGAAAGUUGAUGGUGGAGAAUGAGCCUCAAUCUUAACCCGUGACUAAAAAACACUCGUCUUGUUGACUAAAUGAAGGCUUAUUUAAUUUAUUGUCUAGUAUUUUUUUGUUUUUCUUUUUUUUGUGCGCUGGUUCUCUUCUCCCUGUGGGAGAGCAGGUUUUUGUACGUUGUGUGUGCAUUGUGUGUGUUGUCUGCAUGUGCAUGUGAUGAGUGUAUGCUGGACUGGAUGUGAGAGUGUGAGUGUGUGUGAAUGUGUCUUAAGUGUGUGUACCUGUUCUGUAGCAUGUGUGUGUGUUAACUUGCCCACUGGGUGACUAACUGCUAUUUCCUCAGGCGGACUUCUGGAAUCCUUUGUGUGUGGGACUGAAGAAUGGAUGAGUGUGUGUGUGUGUGUGUGUGUGUGUGUGUGUGUGUGAGAUCCCCAUGUCUUUGUCUUUGUGGGUGUAAUGCUGCUCGCUCCUCGUCUGCAUGACUCCAGGUUAUAAUCACAGUGAGCUAUGAUGCUGCAUGGCCCUGUACAUGUAGAGAGUGUUUGUGCUGGAGUGUGGGAGUGUGAAAGUGUGUUUGUGUGUGUGUGUGCGUGUCUGUAGUCCUUCAGCCUGUACUGGGCAGAAGAGUCUUGUUGGUAACACUGAGCUAAAGCUUGACAGAUAACGUUGCACAUUGCACUGUUAAUCUCUCCAGUGGUGGCGUGUCUUUCUGAACUGGAUUGUUUGUUUCCAGUAUUAUUUAUCUACUGGUACACUUGUGUUAAAAUCUCAUACGGUGUACCUCGGCUCGGAACAGGAAUCACCACGUUUUUCUUUUUCUGUUGUUUUUAUUUCUCAGCUUGUGUAAAGUACAACAUCAGUGCAUCUGUCUCUAACCUCUGCUUUCAGUGGGUUGUUUCUGUUCUGAAUGUUCGCUGUCGUUGGUCGUUGUCGGCUCUUGCUGAAUUGAACUCUGGAUGUUAUUUUCUGACGUGCCGCAGUGAAAGAGUUGGACCGUUGCUUUAGCGAACUGUCGUCUGUGGAAGUGGUUGACUGCAUGAAUGGUUUAAAUGUUAGUCGUACAUGGAUUUUUCUUUAGUACCGGACACUUUAAAGAAGAAAUUGCACUUUUUUUAAUUUGUGUUAACUUUUUUCUUUGUUCUUCUUUUCUGUCUUCAUCGUUUAAUGAUUGUUCAGCAUGUUGGGACUGCAAA